rfam:Myotis davidii contig24040, whole genome shotgun sequence.
UGGCUCAGUGGAUAGAGCAUCAGCCUGUGGACUGAAGAGUCCCAGGUUCAAUUCCUGG